CCCGACUCCUACGGGAGGCAGCAGUGGGGAAUAUUGCACACUGGGCGCAAGCCUGCUGCAGCCAUGCCGCUUGUAUGAAUACGGCCUACGGGUUGUCCCGUACUUUCCGCUUUUAGGAAGGUGUUGUGGUUAAUACCCCUCUCAAUUGACUUUCCCCGCAGAAUCCUCCCCGGCUAACUCCUUGCCAGCAGCCUCGGUAAUACGGCGGGUUCAAGCGUUAAACGGAAUUACUGGGCGUAAAGCGCACGCAGGCAGGCUUGGAAGUCGGAUGGGGAAUCCCCGGGCGCAACCUGGGAACUGCAUUCGAAACUGGCAGGCUGGAGUCUUGUAGAGGGGGGUAGAAUUCCAGGUGUAGCG
rnacentral:rRNA from 1 species